rnacentral:rRNA from 1 species
GACGAACGCUGGCGGCGUGCUUAACACAUGCAAGUCGAACGGUAAGGCCCUUUCUGGGGUACACGAGUGGCGAACGGGUGAGUAACACGUGGGUGAUCUGCCCUGCACUUUGGGAUAAGCCUGGGAAACUGGGUCUAAUACCGGAUAGGACUACGCGAUGCAUGUCGUGUGUUGGAAAGCUUUUGCGGUGUGGGAUGGGCCCGCGGCCUAUCAGCUUGUUGGUUGGGUGAUGGCAUACCAAGGCGCCGACGGGUAGCCGGCCUGAGAGGGUGUCCGGCCACACUGGGACUGAGAUACGGCCCAGACUCGUACGGGAGGCAACAGUGGGGAAUAUUGCACAAUGGGCGCAAGCCUGAUGCAGCGACGCCGCGUGGGGGAUGACGGCCUUCGGGUUGUAAACCCCUUUCAGCACAGACGAAGCGUAAGUGACGGUAUGUGCAGAAGAAGCACCGGCCAACUACGUG